GGGACAUUUUAAUGUGUUGUAUUCAAUUAGUCAGGAGCCAAACUCUACCAUGGCGUCUAAAAGACAACAGGGCGACUGUAUGCAGUCGAACAAGAAGAAAAGGAAAGUAAAUAACUGCGAAGAAACAGCAGAACUUUGUCGAGUCGUUAGAGACGAGAACGUGAAGAGGGCGGUGAAGGAGGCUUGGAGCCUUAAGUCUCACUACACCCAUGGUGAUUUGGAAUUGGACUGCGAUCCCUUCCCUCACUGCGUCAUCAAAAACUUCAUCAGUAGUGAGAAUUUCUUGGAGAAUCUGCGGACAGAACUGCUCAUGCUCAACUUUCAGGCAAAGUCCAAUGAUCUCUACAAGUUUAAACAGUCAGAUGACUUGAGAAAGCAAACCAAACCACACAUAGCAGGCAUGAGAUCAGCGCUGUUUAGUCAGUUCCGGCUAUGGCUUGAAGAGGUUUUAGAUGUGAAACUGGAGCCCACUGUGGAUAUUUCUUGUGCCAAAUAUGAAUACACAGAUAUUCUUUUGUGUCAUGAUGAUGAACUGGAGGGGAGGCGUGUUGCCUUCAUUCUUUAUCUUGUCCCUUCGUGGCUGAGCAGUGAUGGAGGUUCCCUCGAUCUUUACACAACAGAUGGGCAUUUCCAACCACAAAGUGUUGUCAAGUCUCUGGUGCCUUCUUGGAAUACACUCGUACUUUUCGAAGUGUCUCCAGUCUCCUUUCACCAAGUCUCCGAGGUGUUGUCACAGGACAAGUGUCGUCUGUCUUUAAGCGGAUGGUUUCACGGACCGUCUCUGCAGCGUCCUCCUCGCCACAUCGAGCCUUUCGUACCACGGAACGAACACUUACCCAGAGACGAGACGUUGCUGCUGGAGUGGAUCAAUCCACUCUACUUGGAUAUUUCCUACCAGGAACAGAUUCAGGAAGAGUUUGAAAAAAGCUCAGAAAUACAGCUGAAAGAUUUUCUCAGGGAGGAGAAAUUCAGCCAAGUGUGUGAAGCCUUACAGUUGGCUCAGAUCCAGUGGGCUCAGAAAGGUCCGGCCAAUAAGAGAUGCUAUGAAUCAGCCCGUCUGGACACUCUACCUGAGUGUGUGAGUGCUUGUUGGGAGCUGCUUCAUUCAGAAGCAUUCUUCCUGCUUCUGUCCAACUUCACGGGCCUCCGUUUGCACUACCUCUUUCCCGCUGAUGAUGACGAUGGUGAUGAUGGUGGUGGAAAUAAAGACAAAGGGAAGAAGGAAAGCUGUGAAAAGGACGACAAAGCAACAGGGUCCUCAAAUGAAACAAGCAUAGAGUCAGAGCCGAGUACACCCACGUGUUGUGGUGAACUGCGACGAUGGUCCCACAGCAGCUACACUUUACUGCACGAUGGAGAGGCAGCACGAGCGGAAUACGCACUCGACCUCAUUUUACCUUUCAGCUGCGCUGCGCAAACGCAAGUUUGAUUACCAAAUCACAUCUGUACCAAUCUACACAUAUUGACACAUUUGAUUAUCAGCAUCUAUGGCUGGCAGUCUGAGUUUGGAGGCUUCAGUUGUUAUGUUGCGAAUGAAGAGGAUGAGGAGCUGCUGACCAUCUAUCCUGAAGAUAAUUCCCUCGCUCUGGUCUACAGAGACAAGGAAACCCUCAAAUUUGUCAAGCAUGUCAACCACAGAAGCACAAGCAAUUCUUCUACUGGCGUAUUCUAUGACUUCUCUUUUGUAUAUUAUGAAUAAAGUUUGACAUACAGUUCUCUUA